rnacentral:tRNA from 1 species
AGUCUUAUAUUCAAACAAUGAUUAUAAAUUGCAAAUUUAUAGGUGAAUCUUUAUUCUAAGGCUU